UAGGGAAUCUUCGGCAAUGGGGGCAACCCUGACCGAGCAACGCCGCGUGAGUGAAGAAGGUUUUCGGAUCGUAAAGCUCUGUUGUAAGAGAAGAACGUGUGUGAGAGUGGAAAGUUCACACAGUGACGGUAACUUACCAGAAAGGGACGGCUAACUACGUGCCAGCAGCCGCGGUAAUACGUAGGUCCCGAGCGUUGUCCGGAUUUAUUGGGCGUAAAGCGAGCGCAGGCGGUUUAAUAAGUCUGAAGUUAAAGGCAGUGGCUUAACCAUUGUUCGCUUUGGAAACUGUUAAACUUGAGUGCAGAAGGGGAGAGUGGAAUUCCAUGUGUAGCGGUGAAAUGCGUAGAUAUAUGGAGGAACACCUGUGGCGAAAGCGGCUCUCUGGUCUGUAACUGACGCUGAGGCUCGAAAGCGUGGGGAGCAAACAGG
rnacentral:rRNA from 1 species